AACGAACGCUGGCGGCAUGCCUAACACAUGCAAGUCGAACGAGACCUUCGGGUCUAGUGGCGCACGGGUUCGUAACGCGUGGGGACCUGCCCUUAGGUUCGGAAUAACUCCCCGAAAGGGGUGCUAAUACCGGAUAAUGUCUUCGGACCAAAGAUUUAUCGCCCUUGGAUGGGCCCGCGUUGGAUUAGCUAGUUGGUAGGGUAAAAGCCUACCAAGGCGACAAUCCAUAGCUGGUCAGAGAGGAUGAUCAGCCACACUGGGACUGAGACACGGCCCAGACUCCUACGGGAGGCAGCAGUGGGGAAUAUUGGACAAUGGGCGAAAGCCUGAUCCUGCAAUGACGCGUGAGUGAUGAAGGCAUUAGAGUUGUAAAGCUCUUUUACCCGGGAUGAUAAUGACAGUACCGGGUGAGUAAGCUCCGGCUAACUCCGUG
rnacentral:rRNA from 1 species